AAUCUCUGUAUACAGAAUUUAAGUUUUGUUUUUCUUUUAGUCAGUGUGACAGAUUUUCUUCUGAAAGGAAGCAGCUUUGAAUAAGUGCACCACCCCUCUGUUUCAGACGGACUGUCCUCCGGUCAGGACUAUAAACAGCAGGUCUCGUCUGUUCUCACUCAUUCUUAUCAAAGAUGACUGCAAACGCUCUGAUCAUCUGCUCUCUGCUGCUUUCUCUUGCUGGUGGUUUUGCUGAGAUCAUUCUGACUCAGAGUCCAUCCGUGAAUCUGGUAUCCAUGGGAAGCAGCGUCACUCUCAACUGCAGGUCCAGCAGUACUAGUGUAUCAUCCUAUUUAGUCUGGUAUCACCGGAGACCUGGACAAACACACAAACUCCUGUUCUCUAGUGUUGGUAGCAAAGCGUCUGGAGUUUCUGACAGAUUCACUGAUGGGAGAUCAGGAACAAACUACAUGCUCAAUAUUAGAAAUGUCCAGCCUGAAGAUGCAGGAGAUUAUUACUGUCAGCAGCGUUAUGAGACUCCAUUAACACAGUGAUACAGAGCCGUACAAAAACCCCUUGAGUGAAAGAGGAACUGCUGAUUUAGACACACACUGCACACAUAUUUUACUAUGAUUGGAGCCAGUUUUUUAAAACUCUGAACAUAAAAGAAAUCUGGGCCCUGAUUCAAGCAAUAUUCUUAAGAAUAAAAUUCAUCUUAACUGCUA